UGCUUGAGAGGCAGGCAGAAACACCACUGAGCUAAAUCCCCAGCCCUAAAUGAUUAAUUUUUAGAGUUGCUUAUCAUCCUACAUUCCGUGUGAUCUUUCAAAGUACUCACCUAAAAUUUGGUUUAGCCUUGUUCUUGUAAAGUCUUCGAUUUGAAGGUGUUGACAUUCCAACAGAUAAUGCUUCUAAGUUCUCAAGAGAAGGUACAGGGGUCACUUAAUUUGGAAUCUCUAAUUAGCCAUUCACAUAUCACAGGCUCUCACCAUUAUAUGCAAUCAACACUGGAGGUUUCCUGAGAGCUUAAGGGACACCAGCAAUUACUUUCCUAACUGGAUGGAAAGCAUGCAAGGUAUGUGGAUUACCUACUAAUACCAAAGCACCUUUCCCAUUCCUUGAACAGUUUCUCUUGGAAAACUGCGACAGCCUCUUAGCUCAAUCCCUU
rnacentral:lncRNA from 1 species